GUCAUUCUGUGCCACUGUUCGGCAUAAAUGGACUAAUCUUCAGUUUGAAAAUGAGGAGAGCUUGACUGUUAAAGAAUAGGUCAUUUGGCUUCUGGCGGCAGCAGAAGAUGCUGUAAUAUUAGCUGUAAGAACUUGUGCAUUCUUGAUCGAUGAGAGCAAAUUGUUUGAGGACUUCUGGGUAAUGAUAAAAGGAAAGGGAACCUGCUCUUUAAGAAUCUCAAGCAACUACAGGGAAGGUGUGAAAACAGAUUUGUUUGUUCAGGAGCUGUCUGGGUGUGUCCAUAAUGAAUGGAGAAGGAAUGGUGUCUUCACCUGAAGAUUCAUCAUCUAAUCUAGAUUUGAUGAUUUGCCACUGGAGGAGGAUAUACUUUACUGUUCAUUUCAGAAGUCUUGGCAGUAAGGUCAGACUGGAUGUCUCCUUUUACACAGUCAAUUUUAGUUAAUACCACUGU